rnacentral:misc_RNA from 1 species
AGAUCACGGUCAAAGGCCAAGUUCAUUCCACACAUAGGGAACAAAGUGCCCUUUGGAAUCGUCAUGACAGCGUCAACGUAUCUAGUGUUCCUCUCAUGAGGCUUAACAAGCUGCGUGGGAGCAUCGUAGUCAGGGAUGUUGAGCCACAAUCCAUGAGAAACAGCUGUUGGAGCACCCUCACGCAUGCUGAAAGGGUAGCCACGGACGAAAUCUGCACCAUCUCUGUAUGGAUCAUACAGAGUG